UCGGGAAUUUUGCACAAUGGCCGAAAGGCUGAUGCAGCAACGCCGCGUGAGUGAUGAAGGCCUUCGGGUUGUAAAGCUCUGUUGUCCGUGACGAAAGGCCUGCUCAGGAAAUGGGGCAGGUUUGACGGUAGCGGAAGAGGAAGCCCCGGCUAACUACGUGCCAGCAGCCGCGGUAAUACGUAGGGGGCGAGCGUUGUCCGGAUUUAUUGGGCGUAAAGGGCGUGUAGGCGGCCUGGUAAGUCGGGGGUGAAAACUCAGGGCUCAACCCUGAGACUGCCUUCGAUACUGCUGGGCUUGAGUGCUCUAGAGGGCAGUGGAAUUGCCGGUGUAGCAGUGAAAUGCGUAGAGAUCGGCAGGAACACCAGUGGCGAAGGCGACUGCCUGGGGAGUAACUGACGCUGAGGCGCGAAAGCUGGGGGAGCAAACG
rnacentral:rRNA from 1 species